UCUCGGUCCCCUAUUACAGUAGUCUUGAUCUCUAUUUCAAUAAUCUUGAGUAGUUUUCCUCACUUGUUUAACUCUGUCCAGUGUUCCAUGUUCUCUUUGACAGCUUCCACCAUGGGAACAAGCCCAGACGUGGCUGCCAGAAGAUAAGAGACCAUGUGGAACAAGGCUAAGUCCUUCCUGCCAAGGCCACCCUAGACCAGCCUGCCCGUAGUGACUGCAGACGCAUAAAUGAGCCUGGAUGAGAUCAGCUGAGCUCCGCUUAGGAGCUGGCUCCCCCAGUACUGCCAACACCCCCACUGAGGAGACAAAGCGACCGCCGCUUGGUGUGGUGGGCAGGAGGGAAGUGCAGUGAAGCUUGGUUUUCAGAGGAGGGGAGACAAGCCCAGAAUGCAUCAGGACUCGGAAGCUGGGUUUGAGAAGAAGAAAAAGAAAUACAAGAGAGUUUGCCCUUCUCUUUGCUCUCUGCCACACGAGAAUACAGUGAGAAGAUGGCUUUCUGCAAACCAGAAAAGAUUGCCCUCACCAGUCACCAGAUAUGCCGGUGCCUUGCUCUUGGACUUCCCAGCCUCCAGAACUGAGAAAUAAAUGUUUG